rnacentral:rRNA from 1 species
UACGUAGGGUGCAAGCGUUAAUCGGAAUUACUGGGCGUAAAGCGUGCGCAGGCGGCUUUGCAAGACAGAUGUGAAAUCCCCGGGCUUAACCUGGGAACUGCAUUUGUGACUGCAAGGCUGGAGUACGGGCAGAGGGGGAUGGAAUUCCGCGUGUAGCAGUGAAAUGCGUAGAUAUGCGGAGGAACACCGAUGGCGAAGGCAAUCCCCUGGGCCUGUACUGACGCUCAUGCACGAAAGCGUGGGGAGCAAACAGG